AUGGAGGUAAGAAUAGGCCUCCUUCGUGUGAUUACGGUUGAAGGCCCUGGUGGUGUUGGGCACACAGCACCUUUCAACAUAUUUCGCUUCCCUCCCCGCCAAACGCCCAGCUGCACCAGAAUCAAGACUGAAGUCAGCAACGGUGCUGAGGUGAGGAGGAGGAAGACAGGGAAACGUCAAGCUGUCCGGUUUCGAAAUAUGUCUAAGAUGAAAGUUUUUUGUUUUUUCCUUUUCCUUCUGCUGUGUGGACGCAGGGUUAUAACAAGUGGCUUCCUGUCUGCUGGACUCAGCCGUGCUUCCUUCCCAGCUUCAGCAAACCGUCAACUCCAAAGACGGCUCCCACCUGAGAUGCUCUUCUGCAGGGUGCCCUGGCCGUGCCACCCAUCAGGACUCCAGGUGGGCCGUGGGCCUGCUCAGGCCGCCAGGACGUGUCAGAGGCGGCCCUGGCAGCCUGGGAAUUGUCCUUACGUGGCCACCUCUGCUUUCUGCCUCUCAGAAGCCUUGACCUGGGGACUGUGCCUGUCGGAACCAGCUGCCAUGCGGUGAGAGUCCCCAGGCCCAUGGUGAGGCACGGGUGGACACUCCAGUGAACAGUCCCAGCUGAGCUCCCCAGUGACGGCCAGCAUCACUGGAAGCCACGUGAGUGACCUUUUCGGACAGCUAGAGCAGUCGAGCCCUCAGAACACCUGGCCAAAACCGUAAGAGAGACUCCAUGUGAGGACCACCGGCCGGGCCCAGCCAACUUCAGGAGCAGAGUAAGUGCCAAGUACUUGUUUGAAACCGCCAAGCAAGUGGUUAUAGAGCAGCAGAUGCCCAGCACGCCAGCCUUCCCGCAUGGUCCCCUCCAAGCCCGGACAGUCAGGGACUGGGUCCACAGAACACAGCCUAGCCUCUGCCUUCCCGCUGUACCUCUCCUUAUUACCUUGGAAGGAUGCCUUCCUGCUGGGCCAGAUUCCUGCUCCGCUCUGCGCAGAGGCCUGCUAAUCACUUACGGAGUGCUGCGGCCGGGGAUUUAGCUCAGCGGUUCUGCCCCCCGCUUCACAAGCAUAGGUCCCAAGUUCGAUCCCUGGUACCAAGAAAACAAACAAAAAAAGUAGCUCACCACUUAAGGACUGUUGGUCUCAAAAUGGGUUUAUUAACCUCGAAGGUAUCCAACCUCUCUCAUCCUCCUGCGAGACCGAGGACAUCAAGAGAACAGUAAAUAAGGUAUUUUCAAGAUUUGCUGGGACUUUUAAUUGCCGCUUUUUACAAUGUCCUGUUCCAGACCCCCUGGUGCAGGUUCUAGAAGUCUCCAACCACUGUCCUAAACUUGCGGUCCAGCACACAGAGCACCCCGUGUUAAGAUCACCUCCCUAACUAAGCAGGAGCGAUCGUCUCAGGGGAACCAGACGACCCCAAGCAAAGGCUCUCCACAGCACCUCCCAGAGUUGAAAUGAGAAAGUGAGCAAUCAGACCCUGCUCCCCCCAGGGACCCCAGAAAGCUGGGCCCUUUCCCUUAUUGUCUUGCAGGACUGAUCUUUGUCACUGCUACGUCCCGCUCGGUGCCUCUCCUCGAGCUCAAGUCUUGCCCAUUUUCUCGUCCUUCUCAACUAAAAGCUUUGCCUGUACACUCAUACUUCUUGGCCUGCUUUUCAUUUCUAUUAUCACUGAGCCAAAGGACCCCGAUGCAAGUAUCAUGGUGACACCAAUGACACAGGCAACCAGACUUGGAGUUCCAGGAUCUGGGAGUGGCAGUCAACAGCUUCUGGAUUCCUGGAUCUGGCAGACAGCCUCGGGUCCUUGAAUUCAACUGUUCUGGGCAGUCUCGUGAUUCCCCUUACCCGAUUACGGCAGUCACCGGAGCUCCCCAACCUGGCCAGGGAUCUGGGAGCCUCUAGACUUUCCAAUGUUCUAAAAGAAUUAGGUGUAUAAAGCACCCUCUUUCCUAAAGUGCCGAAUACAUUUCUGUUUCUUGCACUGCAGCCUGAUUCACACACCCCGACUCUCUAUAGCUCUGCAGGGCUCUCCCAGAUUUGUUUCUUUUAUUAUUUAAGUAUUUCCUCCCAGAGUAUUUUCUAUGUGCGCUUUGCGUGUGUUCCACCUUCUGAGGGUUUAUUUACCUAAGGAUAUUUUUAUUAUGACUUCACGUUUAAAUGACAGUUUGUCUGACUUUACGAUUCUGCAUUGGAAGAGUUCUUUUCUUUCGAUCUUGAAUGAUAGUACUUCCUUCACUUGCUUUAUGGGGUGUCGCUAGUCAGAGCAUGCCAGUCUGAUUCUCCCCCUUGUGUUGGUACUUUGUAAUUUCUCUCUGCUCUUCCUCUUUGUCUUUUGCAUUUUUAUUUUCGCCCUAAUAUCUGUGUGUGAUUUUUUUCCCCCCUUAUUUCACUGGUUUUGUUGUUGUUGUUUUGAGACAGAGUCUCACUUUGUAGAUCAGGCUGGCCCUUAACCCACUGUGUAGCCCAGGCUGGUCUCGAACUCACAGCAAUCCUCCUGUCUCUGCCUCCGGCAUGCUAGAAUUACAGGUGUGUGCCACCACACCAGGCUCUCUUAUUUCAUUGUUGGUUAUUCUAAGAGUCCUUUCAGGGCUGGGGAUUUGGCUCAGUGGUUCCGGCGCCUGCCUCACAAGCACAAGGACCCGAGUUUGAUCCCUGGUAAUAAAAAAAAAAAAAAAAAAGAAAAGAAAAAAGAAUACAGCUCAUGCCGGUGUGGUAGUGCACACCCGUAAUCCCAGCACUCAGGAGGCUGAGGCAGGAGGAUCGCUGUGAGUUUGAGACCAGCCUGAGCUACAUAGUGAGUUCCAGGUCAGCCUCAACUACAUCGUGAGACCCUGUCUCAAAAGAGGAAAAAAGAAACCUAAGAGUCCUUUCAAACUGUGUUCAUGCAUUUUUCUGUGCUACUGAAAUAUUUAAUCCCCCAUUCUUUCUUCAUCUCCCGCCUUAUUGUUCUUUCCUCUUGGGACUUCUAUUCUCUGUAUCACUUAGCUUUUCUUUUUUUAUUUGUUGUCUCUUUAUCUUUCACGGAUGCCUCUGACGACAAUUUCCCAUUAAUGUUUUGUCUUGGUUCUCACUUAUGAUUUCUUUUCUCCUGAUUUUAGCAGUUUUUAAUGAAAGAUGCAUAUAAGCUUACUUCAUUCCUAUAUCUCCUCAAAUUGUUUUUUCUUUAUAUUUGCCCUUUUCCUUUCCCAGUGGGUGAAAUUUGGCUUCAAGUUCAAGGAUCUGUCCUUGGUCCUCUGUCUAGCUGUGGCCUCAUAACUGCCCCGGGUGGGGUGAAUACCCAUGGGAAAGGCCCAGCCACCAGUCUUUGCUUGUUGCACCUGCUCAACCCAGAUGACAUAUUUCUUCCCGGAAACCUGGACUCAGGGAGGCCUAGGUGCCAGCCCCAUGGAGGGCCCCAAGGGCUCAGGCGUGUCCAGCCCAGGCAGGAGGCCCGCAGGCGGUCCGGAGCCGGCUGCCCAACAAGCCUCUCUGUCUAAGACACUGGCGGACCUCUUUUCUGUCCUCAGACCAAACUGCGGCCACCACGCCUGGGAGAGGACAACCACAUGAGAGGUCCCAGUACGCUGCUGCCCUGCUCCUGCCUCUCAGCUUCCCCUACCCGCAGCCUGGCUCAGGAAGGCAAGGAGCCGCACUGGCCGGGUCUUGGCUCCGUUCGGCUCCCUUCCUGUCUUCCUGUCUUCUCCUGCCCACUGAGAAUCUAUACUUAGAAGCAGGGGUUCAUCUCACAGCAGAUGAGGAAGGCUCCAUCCUAUUAGAUCCAACAGGGCAAGGGUGAUAGUUUUGGGGGCCGCACAAGGAGCGACCUGUGUUACUCCAAGGCUGGCUGCAGAGGUGGGGUGCGGCAGAAUACAGUGUGUGUCCGGACACGGGCCGGCGAAAGGGCAGCCUCACGUGGAGGCUCCUUCUCCUUGGCAUUAAAAAUAAAUCAUUUAAUAUUAAUGUACAUAAUUAUGGUUUUUGCUUUUCAUAAGAGGUUUAUUUUUCUUUAUUUCUUUUUGUUUUUUGACACAGGGUCUCACUAUGUAGUUGAGACUGACCUGGAACUCACUGUGUAGCCCAGGCUGGUCUCAAACUCCACGGUGA
ensembl:lincRNA